rnacentral:rRNA from 1 species
GAUGAACGCUAGCUACAGGCUUAACACACGCAAGUCGAGGGGUAACGAGAGGAAAGCUUGCUUUCCUUGUCGACGACCGGCGCACGGGUGAGUAACGCGUAUCCAACCUGCCCCCAACUAGGGAAUAACCUUGCGAAAGUAAGACUAAUACCCUAUAAUUUCCUCAGAUGUCAUCUGACGAGGAAUAAAGAUUUAUCGGUUGUGGAUGGGGCUGCGGGUGAUUAGGUUGUUGGCGGGGUAACGGCCAACCAAGGCAACGAUCAGUAGGGGUUUUCAGGGUAAGGUCCCCCACAUUGGAACUUAGACACGGGUCAAACUACUACGGGAGGCAUCAGUGAGGAAUAUUGGUCAAUGGGCGGAAGCCUGAACCAGCCAAGUAGCGGGCAGGAUGACGGCCCUAUUGGUUGUAAACUGCUUUUAUACAGGAAUAAAGUUAGCCACGUGUGGUUAUUUGUAGGUACUGUAUGAAUAAGGACCGGCUAAUUCCGUGCCAGCCGCCGCGGUAA